UGCCUACGGGGGGCAGCAGUGGGGGAUAUUGCACAAUGGGGGGAACCCUGAUGCAGCGACGCCGCGUGGGCGAUGGAGUGCUUCGGCAUGUAAAGCCCUAUCAGCAGGGAAGAAAAUGACGGUACCUGACUAAGAAGCCCCGGCUAAAUACGUGCCAGCAGCCGCGGUAAUACGUAUGGGGCAAGCGUUAUCCGGAUUUACUGGGUGUAAAGGGAGCGUAGGCGGCCUGCUAAGUCUGGAGUGAAAGGUACCGGCUCAACCGGUACAGGCUCUGGAAACUGGCGGGCUAGAGAGCAGGAAAGGGG
rnacentral:rRNA from 1 species